AUUGAACGCUGGCGGCAUGCCUUACACAUGCAAGUCGAACGGUAACAGGUCUUCGGAUGCUGACGAGUGGCGAACGGGUGAGUAAUAUAUCGGAACGUGCCCAGUCGUGGGGGAUAACGCAGCGAAAGCUGUGCUAAUACCGCAUACGAUCUAUGGAUGAAAGCGGGGGAUCGCAAGACCUCGCGCGAUUGGAGCGGCCGAUAUCAGAUUAGGUAGUUGGUGGGGUAAAGGCCCACCAAGCCAACGAUCUGUAGCUGGUCUGAGAGGACGACCAGCCAGACUGGAACUGAGACACGGUCCAGACUCCUACGGGAGGCAGCAGUAGGGAAUUUUCCACAAUGGGCGAAAGCCUGAUGGAGCAACGCCGCGUGCAGGAUGAAGGCCCUCGGGUCGUAAACUGCUUUUGUACGGAACGAAAAGGUCUUUUCUAAUAAAGAAGGCUGAUGACGGUACCGUAAGAAUAAGCACCGGCUAACUACGUGCCAGCAGCCGAC
rnacentral:rRNA from 1 species